rnacentral:rRNA from 1 species
UACGUAGAGUGCAAGCGUUGUCCGGAAUUAUUGGGCGUAAAGAGCUCGUAGGCGGUUUGUCGCGUCUGCUGUGAAAACCCGAGGCUCAACCUCGGGCCUGCAGUGGGUACGGGCAGACUAGAGUGCGGUAGGGGAGAUUGGAAUUCCUGGUGUAGCGGUGGAAUGCGCAGAUAUCAGGAGGAACACCAAUGGCGAAAGCAGCUUUCUGGGACGGUACUGACGCUGAGACGCGAAAGCGUGGGGAGCGAACAGG